UACAGAGGUCUCAAGCGUUGUUCGGAUUCAUUGGGCGUAAAGGGCGCGUAGGCGGCCUGGUAAGUACGGGGUGAAAUCUCACGGCUCAACCGUGAGGCUGCCUCGUAGACUGCCGGGCUUGAGCAGAGCAGAGGCUAGCGGAAUUCCCGGUGUAGCGGUGGAAUGCGUAGAGAUCGGGAAGAACAUCGGUGGCGAAGGCGGCUAGCUGGGCUCUUGCUGACGCUGAUGCGCGACAGCGUGGGGAGCAAAUAGG
rnacentral:rRNA from 1 species